UCUUUUCAAAGUCUUAGUACUACUGUAAGACCUCAGCCAAGGCUGAGCAAUCCAAGUUCUGAUAGUAAACAUUCACCUUGUCGAUGUGCCUGAAUUUUGUUAUUCUUGUUUGCAGUCAAGGUUCGAAAUAGGUUUUUGAGCUAGGGUUUGGGCUUCAAACAAGGUUUAGAGUUUCAAAGUCAAGUUUUCAAUUACUUAGAGGGUUUUGAACUAGGGUUGAGGUUCCAAAGUGAAAUUUGAUAUUUCUGGUGUUUCAAACUAAGGUUAGGGUUUUAAUGUAGGGUUCAAAAUUAGGGCUUCAAACUAGGGUUUCAUACUAGGGCUAGGGUUUGAAAUUAGGGUUUAGAACUAGGGUUAGGGUUUCCCAGGUGCAGUGGUGUGCAAAGUACAAUGGACACCCACCGUCAAACAUUUCAGUGCUGAAUCACAGCAACAUUUCAAUCAAUUUUCUUUCAGAAAGAUGAAAGAAAAUUGAUUGAAUUUUUUUCUCUGUUGCAUAAUUCAUUUUAAUGUUAUGUUUUGAAAGUUGUUAUUUGAAGUUUCAAGGGGCAUUUAAAAUGCCUGAUGCACCUGCAUCUACUUUUUACAUUCCACUUUUUCAUUUGAACUUUUUCAUUGAAUGUAAACUGAAUUGCCCACAUCCUCACAGGACAGGUCUCUAUAGAUUUAUCCUAGCAAUUCUUGAUCCACACCUCCACAAUGGCUUUAACACUUUUACCGUAAUCCUCCUAUCUAACGAGAGGUAAGCGGAACGCACCCAGCAUCUUAAUACGUCGGUGCUCGGGCUUUGAAGAGUGCACGUCACAUUAUUACAUCAACAGCUCCAAUACUAAUUCAUCCCAAACACGAGCAUUUAACCUAUCCAUUAUUCAUUUCUCCGACAAUGCCAGGGGGCAAAGAAAUCAGUACUGUAUAUCUGGCCAGCUCCUCAGAGGCUGAUGCAUUAUUCAAGGGCGUGCCCGGCUAAAAGACAACUCGCCUUGUUCUCGACUGCUGGAGGCAACAAUCUUCUCACAAGGACGAUGUUCCUCACUCUGAAGCCAAAGUUGCAUCACCGUGUUUGCUCAUAGCCACGCUUUAGCCAAACAUGAGGCGCAACUGCCUUCCCUUCCUGGCGCUUUCUCGUCUUACUGAAUGGUGUAGGGCAGUGGUCCCCAACCGUUUUUGCGCCACGGACCGGUUACGUGUCAGAAAUAUUUUCACGGAUCGGCUUUUAUGUAAAUAAUACAUUUAUAUAAAUAAAUAAUGGAUUUAUAAUAAAUAUAUAAACACGAUGAAAUCAAAUGAUACGACUGGCAUAAAAACAAGUAUAAACGACAUAAAUGUUUUAUUAAUUAUUUAUUGUAAUUAUUUAUUAUCUUUAAUUACUAACCCCAACCCUAACUCCUGCCCUAACCCUCACCCCAGACCCAAGCUUUAGGGAGGUGUAUGGUGUUCUGGGGCAGCACACGAGCAACUAUGUUGCAAAACUUUUCAUGAUAAAAUAUUUUUGGUCCCACCGGGGUAUGAACGCAGGUUGUUGGGGUAAGAGUCCAGAGCACUAACCACAACACUAUGGAACCCUCGGUUUCAUCCCAUUGAUGGAGCAGCUCACAAAUAGUGUUGGCUCGUUCAAAAGCGCGAAUUUUUUUCAGCGCCCGACAGUGAACAAAUCACUUCCUAAAGUGUCCGUCAACGGGAAAUUACGUCACAGACUCGUAAAGUCACCCACCCCCCUUCCUAAAGUUAUUCGUUCUUUUAUCAGUUCAUAUUACUUCAACCAGUAGGUGUCGGUAAUGCGCAUUGAAGCUGGUGCCACCUCGCCGUAAAACAAAACGAAAAAGAAUAUGAUGUAACUUCCCGUUCACGACCGAGUUCUGAAUUGCAUUUCCCGUUCACCAACUGAACGGAGCUGUGAGUGAACGAGUCUGUGCGUGAGUGAACAAGUCAGUGAAUUAAAGUGCUUUGCAUUUUCAGUUCAUCGCGAAAACGGAUCAGUGAGGGAACGAUUUACUUGGGAACCGUGCAAACUUCAGGUUGCUUCCUGUAAUUAUUCUCUGUUCCGGUCCACCUGCUUCACAAGCAAAACUGAAACUCUUAAGCACUAUGUUUGGUGAACACAACCACCUUUUGAAAUCAAAAAAUCUGAAUCAAACAUUGCUAACUCAUUGCUGAAGCCAGCCGCAAAGACGCUUUUCUUUUUUUUCCUACGUUGAGCACACAAAAAUGAGGUCGGCCCCGUGUGUUCAUUUCCAAUCAUCUCCCUAAUAUGAUCUUGGUAAAGUUGCUGCAGGUAUGCGGUGGGAGGAACGAUAGCCCCGGGGCUCACGGUGCUACACUGCGAGGGGCCCUUCGAGAUUACCCAUCAUCCCCUCCAGUUUGGCGGCAGUGGCGUUUUCAAACGCCGUCCCGUCUGAAGUUGCCCUUGGUUCUACAUGUGUAAUGCAAAGCAAGCUGAGGUCAUCUGACCAGAAUGUGGAAGAUGUGCAAAAGAAGCUGCAGAUCAAACAGAGUUCUGUCUGACAGGAGGAGAUAAAGAGACUGUCAGCAUCGCCUCAGAACAAAGCCGCUCCGCUCCGUCCUCGAGCUGCUCCCUCGACGGCGGUGCUGCGCAGAAUGGAAAAAGAUCGCCUCGCUGCGACCGUGUAAUAAAGCGCGACGGGCCUGCUGUGACCAGAUCAGAUGUGCGCUCCUGAUUAUGAAACUCCCUUUUAGUCACUAACAGACAUGGUAAUAAAUGUGUCCAUAAAUUGAAUUUGGGGCAGGAGCGGGAAUAUCUAAAGCAGUAUUUGGACUGAUUGUCUCCAGCCGACAUGGCAGCGCUUCAGUGGGAUUCUGGGGAGAAACUGAUCCCACCGUAGUGCGGUUGGAAGGUUGAGUGGAGGGUGGAGAGGUUUUUUUUUGUGUGUGAGGGAGGUUUGAUGCCCG